rnacentral:rRNA from 1 species
UACGAAGGGGGCGAGCGUUGUUCGGAUUUACUGGGCGUAAAGGGCGCGCAGGCGGCAGACCAAGUCAGGCGUGAAAGCCCCGGGCUCAACCUGGGAAUUGCGCUUGGGACUGGUUUGCUGGAGAUCGGGAGAGGAGCGUGGAAUUCCCAGUGUAGAGGUGAAAUUCGUAGAUAUUGGGAAGAACACCGGUGGCGAAGGCGGCGCUCUGGACCGAUACUGACGCUGAGGCGCGAAAGCGUGGGGAGCAAACAGG